rnacentral:rRNA from 1 species
UACGAAGGGGGCUAGCGUUGCUCGGAAUCACUGGGCGUAAAGGGUGCGUAGGCGGGUCUUUAAGUCAGGGGUGAAAGCCUGGAGCUCAACUCCAGAACUGCCUUUGAUACUGGGAUUCUUGAGUUCGGGAGAGGUGAGCGGAACUGCGAGUGUAGAGGUGAAAUUCGUAGAUAUUCGCAAGAACACCAGUGGCGAAGGCGGCUCACUGGCCCGAUACUGACGCUGAGGCGCGAAAGCUAGGGGAGCGAACGGG